rnacentral:lncRNA from 12 species
UCUGGGGGGGGGGGGGGGGGGGCAGGUGGUAAGAAGGGUGUCAGGUGGGGCUGGAGGGUAUAGGAGGAAUAAGAGGCUAGAAUGAGUUCCUUGAAGACAGGAAUCCUUUUGAACAGCUAUGCAGUUGGCCAGGCCAGGCCUUGGCUUGAGCAUCCCCUUACUUUCGAUUUAUCAGAAAAUUUUUAAUUAGUUUCUUAAAUACUUAGAAUAAAUCCAGAGUCCUCACAAUUGUCAUCUCAGUGCCACACGAAGUGACUGCCCAUUAUCCUCCCUCCUGUCGGUCUGCAACACCUCCAGGUCUUACUGUAUUGACCUUCUUUGCCAUCUCUGAAACAUUCCAGCAUGCUUAGGCCUCAGGGCCUUUGCACUUCCCUCUGCCUGAAAUGCCUUUCUCCUAGAUGAUACGCAAUCAAAUGUCACCUCCUCAAAGAGACCCUUUCUGCCACCUUAUCCCAUUCUCCUGUUUUGUUUUUCUUCGUAACAUUGAUCCCUCUCUGGAAUUCUAUCAUACAUAUUUGUAUCUGUUUGCUAAAAAUUAAGCAUCCUGGGGGCAGGGACUUUUGCCUGUUUGCUCAUGGCUGUCUGCUCAGCACCUUGCACAGUGACUGGUAUAUAUUUGGUACACGUUGAAUCUAUUUCUUGAAGGAAUUAAUACGUUUUGAAGCUUUUGCCACUGUACAACUGCUAUGAGCCACGUCAUAAGAACCCUCGUCCUGGCCUACCUUGCCGAUACCUACAAGGCAUCAGGACUUGUACUUUGUUAGGUUCAUUGGUCCCUUGGAUAGAGGAGGCAUGUUUGGCAAGAAGCAGCCCCAGCCCCAGAGACCUCCACCCAAACCGUCGUGUUCCAGUCUGGGAAGCAGUGGGGGAAGCAUCCUGAGGCUGGACAUGGACCCAGGGCCAGGAAUGAGGACAACAACAAAAAUAUUGAAAUAUGCGAAGAGCUUUUAUAUCUAUUGUCCCAUCAACUAUUCAUUCGUGUAGUCAACAAACACUAUGGAUCCUUCACCAAGAGCCGCUCAUUGCCCUUGUCCCCGUGGUCACGUACAGCAAAUCUCUACACUUACGGGGUAAUAUUUCUUCAAUGAAAUUGAUGGUUUAAAAAAUGUAUCAGGUGCUUUAUCAUCAGUGCUAAGAACAGUGCUUGUCACAUAGUAGAUGCUCAAUAUUUUUGAAUUAUUGGGCUAAUGUAUACGUUCAUCAGUUUCUCCAUUUAAUAAACAAGGAGCAAUUCUAGGAAAAUCA